rnacentral:rRNA from 1 species
GUCUGAUGGAGCAUGCCGCGUGAGCGAAGAAGGGUUUCGGCUCGUAAAACUCUGUUCGUUGAAGAAGAACGGGUGUCAGAGUAACUGUUGACAUCGUGACGGUAUUCAACCAGAAAGCCACGGCUAACUACGUGCCAGCAGCCGCGGUAAUACGUAGGUGGCAAGCGUUGUCCGGAUUUAUUGGGCGUAAAGCGAGCGCAGGCGGUUAUUUAAGUCUGAUGUGAAAGCCUUCGGCUUAACCGAAGAAGUGCAUCGGAAACUGGGUAACUUGAGUGCAGAAGAGGACAGUGGAACUCCAUGUGUAGCGGUGAAAUC